UGCCUUGACUCCAAUGCCAGGUCCCUUCAUCACAGUAUGGAAUGAGGGGAAGGAUGCUUCUUCACCUGACUCCUGUGACUCAUGUUAUUCAGCGACCUCAUCACCUGAACACCAUCUGCACUGAUGUAGACUCUCAGAGGAAAAUGCACAGAAGAGGCCAGACGCAGAACCGUCCCAUGCAGAGGUCUACUUCCUGUGUGAGACUGAAGAAGUUGGGAGUGAUUCCUUAUGCCAUGGAACUUUCGGACCAUGGAGACCUGUUAUGGUUUGGAUCUCAAUUGUUCUGCCCAAGGUUCAUCCGUUAAAGGUUUGGUCCUAUAGUGCUGAUGUUAUCAGAAGGCUGUAGAAAUUUACAAGGUAGAGAGGCUGGCGGGAGGAAGUUAGGUCAUUGGGAGUGUGCCCAUAAAAGGAUAUUGCAACCCUGACCUCUCCCUCUUUCUCUCUCGCUCUCAAUUUUGCUCUGUUUCCCAGCUGGUACAAGAUGAGCAGAUCCACUUGCCACACACUUCCACCAUGAUGUUUGUCAUGCUUCAGGUCAAAAGGCAACUUGGCCAAACAGCCAUGGGCUGAAAUUAUGAGACUCAAGAAAUCUUUCCUCCUUUUAAGUUGUUUGUCUCAAGUAUUUUGUCACAGGGACAAAAAAAAAAAUUGACUGAUACAAGGCCCUACUUCAGAAAUGCUGCCUCCCUCUCUAAGACAAAACUCAAGUUUUCUUUCAUUGGCAUAACAUAAAUGCCCUCAUUUCAAAAUUAGGAACUAGCCGGCUGACACCAUGGAGGGGAGUGAGAUGGUGCUGACCGAGUACGGGUUGGAACACUUGCGCUCUGGGCCGCAGAUGACAAACUGUGGUAUGAUGAUGUCCCUCAGUGAGGGGCGCACCACUGAGGAGCUGCCCUUGUGGACUGCCAAGGUCACUUUUCAAACUAAUAUUCAGUGAAUCUAUAAUUCCACAAUCAAAACACAUGCAAGGUGUAAAUUACUGCUCUCAGAUCCUCUUUAGAAAGAACAUUUUGACAGGAAGUGAGGACAAAAACAG
rnacentral:lncRNA from 1 species